rnacentral:lncRNA from 1 species
UGGUUUUAGAAUGCUUGCAGGACCUUGGGGAGGUAAAGUCCAAUAGCAGCAAAUUAGCAAAAGAGUGCUGUGGGUUAGUGCCUAGCACUGCUCUGAUUUAGGUGUUCGCCUUUAAAAUUAUUCUUAAAGAAACCUUUUCAGCUAGGUAUGCCUGAGAAUGAAGGUGUUCCCUACCUAAGCCUCCUCUUUUUCUUCCUUCCCUCCUUCCCUCCUUCCCUCCUUCCCUCCUUCCCUCCUUCCUUCCUUCCCUCCCUCCUUUCUUUCCUUGCAGUAGUACUGGGGCUCAAACCUUGAAUGUUACGCAAAUGAUCUACCAUCCGUAGCCUCCCUGUGCAUCCCCAGGACUAUCUUCCGUGCCUGUUUUGUCGUUCCCAGAUGUAGAGAGAGGAUGUGAGAAUCUCUGAGAUAUAAGAAUGAUCAAGGGUAGGGCCAUGUUUUAAUCACACAGAAUGUCUUUUCUUGAGUUUGGGGGAUGGAACCUAGGGCCUCUGCAUGCCAGGGAAGCCUUCUACCACUGGUUACACCCCCAGCCCUAAUCGCUAACGGCCAGGUUCCAGGUUCUGGCUCAUCCACGUGACAACCGAUGGCCCCACCUUGACACCACCCCGUCUUUCUCUGUCUGGGCCUCAGGAGCUCUAGGAGUUAGCAGACACUGACCACACCUUCUUGUAAUUUAUUUGCUCCCCUCUCCCAGCCCCUAACUGCAACCUCAGUUGCCUUUUCUCAGCCAGAAUUCCUUCCCGACACCCUUGGUCACUCUGUUCCCGCGAAGUUCAGCUCAGAUUCGCCCUCAGCUCACUCACUGUGUCCCCAAGACAAUCCUCCCAAACCCGUUCACGGUGUUGUGUUCUUAGGGCUCAUCACGACCCUUGCUCUCCCGUUCUCAAAGGAUCGAGUUAAUUUUCCCCUUUUUCCUAUUGUUCUGCCUAAUGAUUGGAUUUAUGGUGAGAGAAACUCAUGUUUCAGUUCAUUUUAGUCCACUUCAUAGUCACAUCAGCCCUGGGCAGUGGGUAGAGGAGGUACAGGAGCAGACUGGAGUCCAGCACAGGGAGAGUCUUUGAAACACUGGACAUCUAAGGGACAGGGUUCGAGGCCCCACGCAGGUGGCCAGGAGUAGCAGCACAAGGGGCAAGGUGACCAGAGUCUGUCUGAGCCGUGUGUGUUGCCAGGCUGAGAGGGAGACCGUACGUGUGGGUUGAUUCUAACCCUGACGGAGGGUCUUCACAUGGCCUUUGAGCCCACUGCUCAGCUGCCCUUGGCCCACCGGUGUCUGCUCCUGCAGCCACGCUUCCCUGUGCACCGUUCCUCAGGGCAGCGGGCAGCCAUUAAACGGAAGAGGAAGCACUGAGUUUCUGGAGAAUGUCAGUCCUGAGACCAACCCUGGACAUAAUGCUUAAUCCUAUGAUGGCACGGUUGAGUUUUAACAGAGUUUUUAUUUAUGUGUUUAUUUAUUUAUUUUGAGACAGGAUCCUGCUCUGUAGUCCAAGCUGGACCCAAACUCAUGACCCUUCUGUCUCAGCCUCCCAAGUGCUGGGAUUAAAGGAGGUUACUACCCUUCUCUAAACAGAAUUUUCAGACUCUUUUUCCUCACCUUUAAUUUCCUUCUUCCUCAUAAAUGCAACAUCACUGUGUCCUUGCCUUAUGUUUUGCUUUGGUUCCUUUCAUUCAGGGAGUGUGGAAAGUCAUCCAUGGUCACGGGAGCCAGCCCACGAAGGAGCAGGUUGCCUUCCCUUCUGUCUGUAGUUCUCGCCCAGCGCUGCCCGGUGUGGUGUCUGGUGCAGUGUGGGUGUGCAAUGUACACCCCCUAAAGGAGUGCACCAAGCCUCUCCCGACCUGGGCAAGGUCCUAGGGCACAGGACAGCCCCUCUUCCUGGGUGGCUUCUUCCGGUGCUCUCUGCUCGCCCGGCACCUGCCUGCCCUUGGGAUACAACACACAGGCGGGGCUCUCUCAGAAGGACUGAGGGGGACGCCGCGUUGUCACUGUGUUGGAGGCUGGGUUAAGCCCGACCCUGGCGGUAAAAGGCAUGGAAGGGUCUUUCCAGGCUCCCAGGGACCUGAAGGGAAGCAGAGGGCAGGGGCAGUGGUGCUCAGGGCCCUCCCAGGAAGCCCUGGGGGCUGCGGUGAGUGGACAGGAAGGGCGGGUUCAGCUUGCUGAAGCGAGGGAGGUCGGGUCUGAGGGGAAGUGUGCAGUGGAUCACGUGGGGCACAGGCCGUCCCUGGGGGUGGGGGCUAGGGUGGCCCCUGAGGUUCCCUCCCUGACUCUUUAGGUGGCCUGCUCUGUGGAGCCCAGCGGAGUGCAGGGUGCACUGGUGAUUCCACAGAGGAGGAGCCUGGCCCAGAGCAUCCAGUCUGGCUCUGCGCACCUAGCAACCUCUGAGUAGCUGCCCCGAAGGGAGGUUUGCGUUUCUGAUUUCCCUUCCAGCUUCUCCCCGCCCCCCCGCACCCCAGCUGUGGUUGGCAUGCCUUUGCGUGUCAGGCUGCGUGGAUCCUCUCCAGCAUCAGCCUCUGUCGCCUCUCACCCUGUCAUCCCGUGCCCCUGCGCGUGCCCAGCCCACAUCCCAGCGUGCCCGCCCGCUCCUGCUCCGGCCCUGGCUCCCCAUCACAUCAGGGCUUCACCCCUCCCACUUUUACCCAUCUCGGCCCUCCCUGCGGUGCCCUUGCCAAUGCCACGCCUGUCUCUUGGCCUCUCCCUCCUCCGCCUGCAGGCCCCUGGCUUCCCUGGCAUCCCCCUCCUGCCUCUGACCCUGGGCAGGCUGUUGGUGCAGCCAGCCCAGAAGGGACCACUCAUGCAGCCCUCUCCCUCCCUCCCGCUCUGCACACUGGCCCAGAUCUGCACAGAAUCCGGUCACGUGCCUAACACAGCCCGAACUUUUCACAGUGUGGAUCUUUGGCCGUAGCCAGGGCUCAGGCCCACAGGCUCAGCGUGGCAUCCUGGGCCUGUCGGAUGCAGGUUCCCCCCUCCGACCGCUGGGUGCCGAGUUCCAGGCCUGUGUGAUUACUGCUGGCUCCGCCCCACGGCUCACACUCACUGUUCUUGUCCGGUACCUCUGCCUUCCUGAAGACCCCGAGAGGGCAAGAGAGCCUGUAGGUGGAAGCUCCUGAAUGCUGCUUCUGCAUACUCCAGGCUGUUUGAUGAGCAGGCAGGGUAACCCAGGGCCUGGCCUGCACCAGGCCGUGAUCCUCCCCAGCGCCACAAAGCAGAGCAAAACAAGCCACCCUCAGUGCACAGUGCUGCCCGCAGCCCUUUCGGGGACAGUCCCUCGGCUCAGCUCCAGCCUUCGGCCCAAGGUGCAGGCUCUCAAGAGGUUCUAGACUCCUUGUCAUCCAGAUCCAGCAGCAUGUGUCCUAGAAGGGAAGUACGGGACCUCUAGAGAUCUGAACCCACUUUGCUCGAGUGCUUCUUCACCCUAGACGGAGGGCACCUGGGAGGGUGACCCCCGAGGGGUCUUGCUUUGGCUUCUCCGAGGGGCAGUGGUGGAGUGGGAUGAACGUAGUGGGAGCAGGUGUGGCUGAGUGUGCGGUGUGGGCUGCAGGGCAGGGUGAGCAGCGGUGCUCCCUUCCCUCUACCUCUGAACCCAGGUGACAGGAGCACCUCCCCCUUGGAGUGGGGAAACUGCCAGUGGCUGCAGAACACAGCCGGAGAACAGGGCCCUCCGAUGCCUCUGCCUGUCAGGCCUGGCUGCAUGCUGGGGAGGGGAGUGUGCCUGUUGGUGGCAUCUGCAUUCCCAGGUGAGGGGCAACCUCCACUGAGGCCUGACCAGAAGAAACAGAACUGCAGACCCGGACCCUGGGGUCUGGGGUCAACAUGGGGAGUGGCUCAACACAGUUCCAGCCCUGGAGUUGUUUACAAUAUGUUAUUUGAAAUUUUAACACGAUCAGAGUUAAAUCACGACUAUUAAACACUCCCUUGAUCCAGG